GUGAGGAAUAUUGCGCAAUGGAGGCAACUCUGACGCAGCCAUGCCGCGUGCAGGAAGAAGGCGCUACGCGUUGUAAACUGCUUUUAACCGGGAAGAAACCCCAGGACGUGUCCUGGGUUGACGGUACCGGAGGAAUAAGCACCGGCUAACUUCGUGCCAGCAGCCGCGGUAAUACGAAGGGUGCAAGCGUUAUCCGGAUUCAUUGGGUUUAAAGGGUGCGUAGGCGGAGCGUUAAGUCAGUGGUGAAAUCCUGCAGCUUAACUGUAGACUUGCCAUUGAUACUGGCGCUCUUGAGUGCGCUUGAAGUGGGCGGAAUGUGCCGUGUAGCGGUGAAAUGCUUAGAUAUGGCACAGAACACCAAUUGCGAAGGCAGCUUACUAAGCUACAACUGACACUGAAGCACGAAAGCGUGGGGAUCAAACAGGAUUAGAUACCCCGGUAGUCC
rnacentral:rRNA from 1 species